rnacentral:rRNA from 1 species
AUAGCGUAUAUUAAAGUUGUUGCAGUUAAAAAGCUCGUAGUUGAAUUUCGGGAUUGGCGCAUCGGUCGUGCCUUACGGGGUAUGAACUGGUGCAGUCAAUUUCUCACCUUCUGGAGAACCGCGAUGUCCUUAAUUGGGUGCCGCGGGGAACCAGGACCUUUACUUUGAAAAAAUUAGAGUGUUUAAAGCAGGCAUUUUUGCUUGAAUACAUUAGCAUGGCAUAAUAAAAUAGGACGUGCGGUUCUAUUUUGUUGGUUUCUAGAGUCGCCGUAAUGAUUAAUAGGGAUAGUUGGGGGCAUUAGUAUUCCGUUGCUAGAGGUGAAAUUCUUGGAUUUACGGAAGACUAACUUCUG